UCUUGAGAGUGGUGAAGUUUUAGCAGUUGAUGUUUCAUGCAUUGUUGCUGUCUUAGUUUGAUUAAGCAUUUCUCUUCUGCUUUGUAAAUAUGAUUAAUUUCACCUCAACCUCAGGUUUUGCUGUUUUUUGAUCUUAGCUCAUUGCAAGCUGCUCUGCCCGAUGCAUAGUUACAACCCACUUUCCAUAGUGGUAUUGCCGAACCAUGGCUUCCUCAAAAUUCAGUUAACUCUUACAUCUCCUCUGCUGGACAAGGUGGUGGUUUGACAUUCUUGGCUGCUCAACCACCAAGUUCUCAAAUAUCAUGCUCGGUAUCCUUUAUGCAAAGGGGGAAGGCCUUCUAUGACUUCCAGUUCACCACAAGGCCUUGUAAAAUCCCCAAGUCUUAUGUACGAUCUAAGGGAAGGAAGUUUGACAGGGCUAGAGGAAGGAGGAAUAACAAAGGACUUAGGGUUUAAGUUGUAUUGUUUCUGUAUUUUACUUCAGUUUUUAGUUUUGGAAUUUGAAC